rnacentral:lncRNA from 1 species
AAAAAAAAAAAAAAAAAAGAAAAUAGAGGCAGAGAUUCUUAGCCAAGGCUUACAUUUAAAAAUGUAAAAUGUAAUUUUAAUUAAAUGUACAUUUAAUUGCACGUGUAUAACUGUGGGGUAUAAGUGUGGUUUGUCGGUUCGAAGGCAGAUUCACAGCUUUGCUUUAGCACACACUUUUGCUCUCAAGAGCUGUAGACACUGCAAACAUUGAAACAGUCAUUUAUAAAGGGAAUACUCGGUAUAGGACACUCUGGCUGGUAACUUCCAUUUAGUUUAGAUGAGCUUGCCAGGUAGCAAAAACCAGCGUUUCUCUAUUCACUAGAGCCUUUUGGAGAGGUGCCGUGUGACAGGGAGGCUGUCGGAGGCAGAAGUGUUUGCAUGGGAUGGAGACUGCAACUACCGUAACUGUCCCUGUGGCAAGAACACCCACAGAAACAGGUCUCAACUCUGGCCAGAUCCUCGUGAUUUUUGGAUGGCGUGACUUGAAGCGGCACAUUUUGGCAGGAGUCACAUAGCAUUUUAUACUAUUGCCUCCCUCCUUGUUACUCAGGCCUUAAGCUUGAAGGUCUAAAGCACAGGUUCUGGAACCAAAAAAAUACAGACAGCAAGGCUUCCAAACACUGGCCCUUUAGAAAGCUCUGAGCUGAACCUGCCAAGUAUGCUGAGUGAAGGACAGAAGGUUGUAAGUCUUACAUCCAUAUAUGUUGUUCUUAAUAUUCACCAUGGGCACACCUACAGCUGGAACAACACUUCUGGAUAGGAGAGAGCUCUGCAAAAGAAGGUUGCAGUGAUAGUGAUGGCCAGCCUGGGCCAUGGGAAUAGUCUCAUGUCUCUCCCAUGCAUCUGUUUCCCUCCAGAGGCUGGGCAUGUCUUGCAUCUACACAAUAAGGGAAGGAAUGUGAGCCCUCCACCACACCUCUAGCUUUCAACAUUUGCUGAGCCUGUUUGUCUAUUUUGGUUUUGGUUUUUUUUGUUUUGUUUUCACCUGUGACUUUUGAGAUUGUAAUCUCAGCAGGGUAGGGACUGCCUUGUGUUCUAGAUUUGUACACUGACUGUGCCUGGGAUCUUUAGCUGAUGUGCUAAUAAUGAAUAAGCAUAAUUUUCUUGGGGGGUACUCUUCAAGGAUUCAUCUGGACCUGAUUUGUCUAAGGAUAAAAUAGACCAUUUCCUUUGGAAGAAAUGGGCUCAUGAUAACCACUCGAUUAAAAGGAUCUCUUUCUGCAGAGGUGAACACAAGUGUUGCACUCAGUAGUGUUCAUCAUGGAUUUGCAUAGACUGAAUAGUACAUCAUGUCCCUCUUUCUCCUAAAUUUAGGG